UACGGAGGGGGCUAGCGUUGUUCGGAUUUACUGGGCGUAAAGCGCACGUAGGCGGAUUGGUCAGUUAGGGGUGAAAUCCUGGAGCUCAACUCCAGAACUGCCUUUAAUACUGCCAGUCUCGAGUCCGGAAGAGGUAAGUGGAACUCCUAGUGUAGAGGUGGAAUUCGUAGAUAUUAGGAAGAACACCAGUGGCGAAGGCGGCUUACUGGUCCGGUACUGACGCUGAGGUGCGAAAGCGUGGGGAGCAAACAG
rnacentral:rRNA from 1 species